rnacentral:rRNA from 1 species
CCCUUAGAUGUCCUGGGCCGCACGCGCGCUACACUGAACGGAUCAGCGCGUUUUCCCUUCCCGAGAGGGACGGGUAACCUGCCGAACCCCGUUCGUGGUAGGGAUCGGGGCUUGCAAUUAUUCCCCGUGAACCAGGAAUGCCCAGUAAGUGCAAGUCAUAAGCUUGCGUUGAUUACGUCCCUGCCCUUUGUACACACCGCCCGUCGCUACUACCGAUUGAACGUUUUAGUGAGGUACUCGGACUGAGCCUCAGAAGAUUCACGUCUUUUGUGCUGCUCGGGAAGAUUCCCAAACUUGAGCGUUUAGAGGAAGUAAAAGUCGUAACA